UACACAUGCAGUCGAACGGUAACAGGAAGCAGCUUGCUGCUUUGCUGACGAGUGGCGGACGGGUGAGUAAUGUCUGGGAAACUGCCCGAUGGAGGGGGAUAACUACUGGAAACGGUAGCUAAUACCGCAUAACGUCGCAAGACCAAAGAGGGGGACCUUCGGGCCUCUUGCCAUCGGAUGUGCCCAGAUGGGAUUAGCUUGUUGGUGAGGUAACGGCUCACCAAGGCGACGAUCCCUAGCUGGUCUGAGAGGAUGACCAGCCACACUGGAACUGAGACACGGUCCAGACUCCUACGGGAGGCAGCAGUGGGGAAUAUUGCACAAUGGGCGCAAGCCUGAUGCAGCCAUGCCGCGUGUAUGAAGAAGGCCUUCGGGUUGUAAAGUACUUUCAGCGGGGAGGAAGGUGUUGUGGUUAAUAACCGCAGCAAUUGACGUUACCCGCAGAAGAAGCACCGGCUAACUCCGUGCCAGCAGCCGCGGUAAUACGGAGGGUGCAAGCGUUAAUCGGAAUUACUGGGCGUAAAGCGCACGCAGGCGGUCUGUCAAGUCGGAUGUGAAAUCCCCGGGCUCAACCUGGGAACUGCAUUCGAAACUGGCAGGCUUGAGUCUCGUAGAGGGGGGUAGAAUUCCAGGUGUAGCGGUGAAAUGCGUAGAGAUCUGGAGGAAUACCGGUGGCGAAGGCGGCCCCCUGGACGAAGACUGACGCUCAGGUGCGAAAGCGUGGGGAGCAAACAGGAUUAGAUACCCUGGUAGUCCACGCCGUAAACGAUGUCUAUUUGGAGGUUGUUCCCUUGAGGAGUGGCUUCCGGAGCUAACGCGUUAAAUAGACCGCCUGGGGAGUACGGCCGCAAGGUUAAAACUCAAAUGAAUUGACGGGGGCCCGCACAAGCGGUGGAGCAUGUGGUUUAAUUCGAUGCAACGCGAAGAACCUUACCUGGUCUUGACAUCCACAGAACCUUGUAGAGAUACGAGGGUGCCUUCGGGAACUGUGAGACAGGUGCUGCAUGGCUGUCGUCAGCUCGUGUUGUGAAAUGUUGGGUUAAGUCCCGCAACGAGCGCAACCCUUAUCCUUUGUUGCCAGCGGUCCGGCCGGGAACUCAAAGGAGACUGCCAGUGAUAAACUGGAGGAAGGUGGGGAUGACGUCAAGUCAUCAUGGCCCUUACGACCAGGGCUACACACGUGCUACAAUGGCAUAUACAAAGAGAAGCGACCUCGCGAGAGUAAGCGGACCUCAUAAAGUAUGUCGUAGUCCGGAUUGGAGUCUGCAACUCGACUCCAUGAAGUCGGAAUCGCUAGUAAUCGUGGAUCAGAAUGCCACGGUGAAUACGUUCCCGGGCCUUGUACACACCGCCCGUCACACCAUGGGAGUGGGUUGCAAAAGAAGUAGGUAGCUUAACCUUCGGGAGGGCGCUACCACU
rnacentral:rRNA from 1 species